UCUUCCAGGCAGCGGCCGGGUAUGGGCUGGCUGCUACUUCCCCUUGUGUCUGUCCCUGAAACACACGACUGCAGCGCGAUGCGGUAGAGGCUGGUGAGAAGUGAACUGCAAUAUUUUUGCAUCUGAGUCCAUGGACCCUCCAUCCAACCCAUGAUGCUGAUCUGCCACAUGGGCUUUCAUUUCUGCACUCUGCUGCUCCCAAGAUGCCAUUCCUUCCAGAGGGCCACAGUUUCUGGGGACACACAUAAAGAUGCCCAGGUGGGAAGCAGUGAUAUACUACAAUGGACGGAGAAAUGGAAGCCAGCAAAAUUCCUUAGGUAAAGCUUUGGGGAGAGAUGCCGCAGGCUGGUCCUCGGGAAGGAAUUCUAUUUUGCCAACUUCUGCUCCUCCACAAUGGGUGACUUGCACUUUUAAAGACUGCUUUAUAACACUAACACACCCUCUGUGAGGGUUCUGGUAGAUUCUCUCUGAAGGUCUUACUGAGCUUCCCUGAGCCGAGAGCCCACAGAACAGGGUACGUGGCGAGGGCUGUUUGUGGAAACCAGAUUCAGCACUUGGCCACGUGGAAAGCGAGAUGUGGAGCGUGGUCGAGACCCUCCGUGCACACAGGGCGGAGGGGAGCAGUCCGCCGAAGAGAAAGGUCUGUGCAGAGUGGUCUGGAGAAGCCGCACCCCUGUCUGUUUCCCUGGUGUCUCGAAGUGCAUCAUUCAGUGUCACAUCAGGAACCGAGCCAAGGAAAUCGUGACCAGCCCAAGUCACUUUGGUAAUUCGUCUGCACCAGCAGUGCCUUUUUUGCCAGGGCUUCCUGGACCCUCAGAUUCUUGUUUUGUAGCCAUUUGCCACCGCUGAUGGGUGUGGCCCUCUCCUCAGUCCCGCACUGCCUUCCCCGUCUCCAGAUAGGCAGCUUAGCUCUCAAAGCUUAGCUCUCAAGGCCGGAUGAGUUCUAAAGCCAGUGAAGACCUCGCCCUCGGAGUAAGUUCCCCAAGCUUGGGGAAGAGCGUGACUUCAGCAGUUUUUCUACCAAAAGCAGGCCGAAGGCUGGUUCUGGAUCCUUGCUCCUCUCCCGCCUCCCCAGGCCACCUCCUGCCUCAGUCCCCCAGGGUGCCCACCCGCCCCCACCGCUGUCUGCUUGAGGCCUCUCACUUGCUGCAGUGUCAUAGCAAUAAAAUGUGAUUCUUGGGGCCCUCCAGGGAGCUGCUCGCGGCUUUAUUUAUGAAGCUGGCUUUGGGGAGUCGGGAGGGGAUGACUGCUGCCAUGCACAUCCCCAUCUGCUUAGAGCCACAACUCAGAAGAAGGGGCGCUUGGACUUUCGUUAUACACAUGUGCUUUGUGUAAAUAAAUAUUUACAGUUUUAUAUUGACAAUGGAAUAAGCGCUAGAGCUUCCAACUGUAUAUUUUUUACUUUUAUAAAUUUUAAAACUAUGAUCCUUUAUAUAUUUGCUUUUGGGGAGCUAUAAGUUUUAUGGCAAUUAGUACUGCUAACUUUUUAUGGUCCUCAGAAGUACAUAAAAGUCCUAUUAAUCCCUUUAUUUUUCCACUUCCCUUAACUCUAAUAUACACCAAAAAGAAGUCUUUACUUUCUUUGUUUUAUUAUUACAAAAAUAAUAAAAGUAUUUUGCUAGUAUGGAAAAAAAAAAGAACUUUAGGCAGGAAAGAAUGAUGAAUUCCAGUCUGGACACUAGAAUAUUUGUCAAAAGUUAUUGAGUCAUUCUAAGGUCAGCCUGUUUAUAAAAUAAACUAUUUCUUACCUCAGGUUUACUAUAAAGUUUAAUAAAAGAUGGACAAAGAAAUGCACCUAAUACAGGACGAUGCUCACAAAAUGUUAGCUGUUUUAUUUAUCCAUCCCCAUUUCUAAAGAUACUUGGCAUGGAUUUACAGACUUCUUGUCCAGUGUCUAUCAUCUUGUUCAAUGAUUCUUUCUUACAGACUCCCCUGCUUCGGACUGUAUUAGAAGAAAGAAAAGGACUGUGGGUAUCCAGAAAAAAAUAACAAGGACCUGGAAUGAUUACAGAAAGGAGAAGAGGGCAUGAGCAUCAAACACAAGGCAGAAACUCAACAUACUACAAGGCCAAGAGACAAAAGCUGCAGGUGGAUAACAGGAGUGAAAGAGAGAAGGAAAGAGAAAUUCUAACAGACAUUCUAGUUAUUACCAAAAAUGCUGCCUCAGAGUGAGAUAGAGGGGGUGGGCAUGCCAAGAAAUUUGGAGUAUUUGGAGUUUUUGCAAAUGAGCUUAUAUGAAAGAUCCCAACUUCAUAAUAUGCCCUAUAAAAACUGAAUGGAAGACAGACUGAAUUGUGACAGGUAGUUAUAAAAAAAAAUAGAAGCGUGAUAUCACAAGUCAGGGACCUUUCAAAUGAUGAGGCAAAGGGUAUAAGUAAUCUAAGAGAUAAUAAGCAUGGAAGAAAUGAAGGAACUAUUAUGAAACUAAUCUGAAAUAAAGUCGAUUGUAAAAUUAU